GCCGAAGUGGCGGAAUGGUAGACGCGCACGACUCAAAAUCGUGUACCAAUGGUGUGUGGGUUCGAGUCCCACCUUCGGUA
rnacentral:tRNA from 1 species